UACAGAGGUCCCAAGCGUUGUUCGGAUUCACUGGGCGUAAAGGGUGCGUAGGUGGUGGGGUAAGUCGGAUGUGAAAUCUCCAAGCUCAACUUGGAAACUGCAUUGGAAACUACCUUGCUAGAGGAUUUGAGGGGGGAUUGGAAUACUUGGUGUAGCAGUGAAAUGCGUAGAGAUUUGGAGGAACACCGGUGGCGAAGGCGGUCAACUGGCCCUCAACUGACGCUGAGGCACGAAAGCGUGGGGAUCAAACAGG
rnacentral:rRNA from 1 species